ACCCGUGCGAAAUCGCAAACAUGGCCGACUUCAUUGUUUUGAUACUGGCAAAGCGUUAAUUGUUUUGCUCGACGAUAUAUUACAAUAUACAUCUUUCGAUUCUAUUCGGCGUUUACGCGACUUACCGGCUUUUCCGACCAGUUGUCGUCGCCGUCCGCUAAUUUCCGGGAUAGUGAGUAAUUUUUAUUAUUUUUUUUUUGAACUAUUCUGUUACUCGCGGUCGUUGCCGCCGCGAAAUAUCCGGAUAAUGUAAACACCGGCAGUAGCUUCAACGGCAUCUUCGUCAAUCGAACCCUCAGUCGGUAAGUGUACCUUUCUCCUUAUCAUUAUUUUAUUUUAUUAACGUUAGCUAUAUUUUUGCGAUUUUUUCAUCUUGAUUGAAUUUUUUUUCCGACCUUCGCAUAGAGCCGUCCUCAAAGUAUUCUAGGUCUUAAGAAGUAAGUUAUGUAACGUUCAGCAACCCGACUAAUCGCACUGAUUAAGGUUUUUUUAAAAAAAUCUAGUUUCUCUGCUUAAGCACUUUAAAUAUUAAAUAUUCCGAUUUAACUAUCGUAUGUGACUUGCAUGCCAGUCAAACGCUGUAUUUAUAAUAAUUCUUACAAUAAAAAUGUUUUUUAGGCAAUAAUUUAUCAAUAACUUAAAUUAAUUUUGUAUGAUUUAAACUCGUCAAAGAAUAUAUCUGGGUAACUAUUUUUCUGACUGAUUAUUCUAUUCAAAAUAAAGUACUUUAACUACUCUCCAUUACAUAGUAAUACAAUACUCUUUGCAAUACCUAUGCUUUUUAAUAUUUUAAAGCAUAGGUAAGUAUUCAAUAAUAUUUCUUUUGUAUGUUUUAUCAAUUAGUUAAAUGUAAUAAUACCUACACAAAUAAACAAUUUUGUCAAGUAUUUGUCAAAUAAUUUACAAAAUAUAUUAAACAUAACUAUUGGUACCUUGUUUCAACAUAACCUUUUAUAUUAUUAAUAUUCUGAACAAAAUAAUUUCAUUUCUCAAUACCCAUCUAAAUAGAUAAAAUACCUUGAUACUUAGUGCAUUUAAACCAUUUAAAAAAUUGUAUGUAUUUUUAUAGAAGUAUACUACUCCAUUUUUAUGUCUUUUGAAAUUUAUAUUUCAUUUAUGUUAAAUUUUUCGCAAAGUAAAUUAAAUUUGAUCAAAAAAAUUAAACAUUUGUAUCUUCUGUGAUAAUAAAAAGACACUAAUGUAGUUAAUGACAUCUGUACUAUUUUUAACUUGGCUCAAACUCUAAUGCAAAUUCUUUUGCCAUAGCUUUUAAUUUAUCAAAUUCAAAUUGUUAAUCAUUAAUUAUGUUGUAAUAAUUGUUCUACAUAAUAUUUAUUAAGUAUAAAAUUAGCUACCUACCUUUUUUGAAAUGAACCUGUCAAACACGUGCUUCGUGUUUACUAAACAAAUCUGUGCCUAAUAUAGGCUGGUAAUAAAUACAUUAUUCUAAAAUAUGCCAAACUAGGCUUUAUUAAUUUAUACAUUUUUAAUGAAAAAAAGAAUACUUAUCUUCACCAAGGUACCUAUUAAAUUUGUAACAUUUAUUGUUUAUUUUUUUUUUAUAAAUACAGAAAAUGGAUAAUCAAGGCCAUCAUCCGGCCGCAGUAAAAAAACGUUCCAUUGAUGACAUCAUAAAUAACAUAACAUCAGAUCUUCAAAGUUAUGAAGGUCGGUAUAUGGUAUUAGGGAAUCCGAGACAAUCGACAGACAUUAUGUGGCAACAAGUCAAUAACUAUGCAAAUCCACAACCACAAACCAAUAUGUAUAAUCCAGAAUCAAUGAAUUUGACCAAUAACAAUCCUUAUAUUUUAAACCCUAAUCAAUAUUCUCCAUAUAUGCAAACUCAGAAUCAAAUGCCAGGGUAUGUCAACUACGACCAUCAAGUGUAUUCUCAUCAUCCUCAUCCCCAUCAUCAACAGCAGCAGCAGCAACAACAUCAACAAACAUCUCAGCAACAACAACAACAACAACAACAAAUUAACUAUACGUAUUACCAACAAUCGCAAUAUAAUUCUCAUCCCAUGCAAUACCAGAGUGCUACAUACGGUCUUUUUGAUCCGCCUUGUAAUGAUGCUCUCAUUGAAAAUCUUGUUCAAAGUUGGAGUCAAACUCAAAAUAAUGGUGGUGUGUUCAGUCCAUUUGGAGAUCAGGCGUUUCAAACUUCGAGAGAAAUGAUUCCUGAACGAGAUAUUAACAUUCACAAUCAUAACACGAUGACCAAUCACACGAAUAUUGCUACACCUGUUAAAAAAGUUAGAAUGGUAGCGGAAGUACGUCCGAUGCGACCCAGUUAUUCUGAUGUUUUGGCUAAAUCACCAGCUGUUGGUGCCGUGAAAAAAACUGCAGCUAGUACUCAAGUCGAAACAUUAUUAGAUUUAAAAACAACCUCUAAAGUAAAAACAUCUAUCAAAAAAAAGAAAAACUCUGCAAAGUUGGGUAAAGGAGAAUCUGGUUUGAAAAGACAAAAUUCUUCUGCAAGCAGUGAAGAGCGUAAUACUCCCACAGUAGAAUUUAAAGAAGAUGAAAAAAAGUUUGAAGCUACAUUUAAUAAUAAUAAUAGUAAUAAUGAAAAAGUUUGGACAUCGUCAGAAGACUUGAACGGAUCAGAAUAUUACGAAGCUGAUGAAAACGCUUUUAGUAAUAUUUUGGCACCAAAGUCUAAAGAAAACAAUAAGAAAGAUAAAGCAAAAACUAAAUCUAAGACUGUUCCAUUGUUAAAAACCUCAGGUAAAAUUACAGUUUGUUUUUUAAUUUUCUUUUAAUGAAUCUGAUAAAAUUGAUUUUUUUUAUUUUUAUUAUUUAAGGUUAUACUUUAAAGUCUCAUAAGGACGAUGCUGAAAAACACAAGACUAAAAAAAAUAUUCAAUCGAGUUGUGCUAUUGGUGCUGUUAAAAAAGAGAAGUUAAAUAAUGACCAUAAAAAGCAUAAUGAAUCAAAUAGUAUGUUAUUAUUUAAAUUUAAAUGAAAUUGUAUUUUGAAGUACAAAAUUAUUUGCAUCUAGAUAUUAGUACAACAAAGUUGUCUGAUGAAGUUGAAAAACCUUCUGUCAAAAUGUCUUCAAAUGUACCCCAGUCACAACAGGCUGCACCUACUAGUAAAAAUCAGGGUUCACGUAGUACUGCUACGUUCACAGCAUUACCAUUCAAAGCAAGAUAUCAACGAGUGACAAAAAAACGACCACGUAGCUCUGCUUUAAACACAAUGUGUAUGUGUUAAAUUUUAAACUGUGUUUAUUUAAGAAACAUAAAUCUGUGAAUUUAAAAUAAACUGUUGUUAUUUUCAGUAACAAAACAUUUUAACUUUUUGAAAGCUCAGUUUAUUCAAUAUGCUCCAAUAAUGGUUUUUUGGUUUGUUCAUCUUUUAUGGGACGUCAUCACCAUGAGCUUUCAUUUGUUGUUACACUUGUAAGUUUAUUUUUAUAAUUUUUAAAAAUAGUUACUAUUUCAUUUAUAAACCAUAUUUAUAUUAUAUAGAUCAGCAUCUGGUAUGGCACAACUGGCUGAUUUCGGUAAAAAUUGUUGGACAGAUUUUUUGGGUGGACUGAGGUCUCCAUUUGCUCGUGCAUCGCACUGGGCUCGUGUUAGGUGGAAAGAGCAACAUUCAGGUAGCACUCUUCAAACAAAUAUUCCACUGCCAACUACUGGCGAAGAAGCUCUUAAAAGGCUACUUGCUUGCAAAGGGAAAGAUCCAUACAGGUAAUUUUGUCUGAAUAAUCUGAAAGUAGAUUAUCUCAUAUUCAUUAAUUUGUUGCCUGUGCAUUUAUUGUAUAAAAUCGAUCAUUUGUUCAUCUGUUAUUCAAAAGUAAGGUCAUAAUCAAUCAUUAU
rnacentral:lncRNA from 1 species